rnacentral:tRNA from 1 species
CGGGGUGUGGCUCAGCUUGGUAGAGCGCUUCGCUUGGGACGAAGAGGUCGUAGGUUCAAAUCCUGCCACCCCGACCA